GUCGGUGCUCUCGACGCCGGG
rnacentral:siRNA from 1 species